rnacentral:rRNA from 1 species
UGGGGAAUAUUGGACAAUGGGGGCAACCCUGAUCCAGCAAUGCCGCGUGUGUGAAGAAGGCCUGCGGGUUGUAAAGCACUUUCAGUAGGGAAGAAAAGCUCGGGGCUAAUACCUCCGGGUCUUGACGUUACCUAAAGAAGAAGCACCGGCUAACUUCGUGCCAGCAGCCGCGGUAAUACGGAGGGUGCAAGCGUUAAUCGGAAUUACUGGGCGUAAAGCGCACGCAGGCGGUCGGGUGAGUCGGAUGUGAAAGCCCUGGGCUUAACCUGGGAACUGCAUUCGAUACUGCCCGGCUAGAGUAUGGGAGAGGGAAGCGGAAUUUCCGGUGUAGCGGUGAAAUGCGUAGAUAUCGGAAGGAACAUCAAUGGCGAAGGCAGCUUCCUGGCCCAAUACUGACGCUCAGGUGCGAAAGCGUGGGGAUCAAACAGGAUUAGAUACCCCUGGUAGUCCACGCUGUAAACGAUGAGAACUAGAUGUUGGGAGGGUUUUGCCUCUCAGUGUCGCACUAACGCGCUAAGUUCUCCGCCUGGGGAGUACGGCCGCAAGGUUG